GCACCGUUAGUCCAGUGGUUAGGAUACCGCCUUCCCAUUUCUCAUGUGGAUCUAGGCGGGGGUCGUGGGUUCGAGUACGUGAGAUUCC